CUCGACUCUCGACCUGGCCUCCUCUAUCUAAUUUUGACCCUCCCCUACACUCCUACAUCCGAGCUAACAGCAAGAACUCCGGCGACGAAGACCGUUCCGGAAGACACACUGGAGGAAGGAACUAUUUAUUUUCGAUGGCCACAUUGGACGGGGCCAAGAAGCUAAAGACGCCGAACUAUCUCCGGUAUGUUGAAUCCUUGGCGGUUCUACACUUCGACUAUCCAGCGACGGGAAGAUUUUGCAUUCGCAUGCUGUACUCUUCGGGGAAGCGCUUGCUUCGGAGGAGAAUGAUCUGGUGUUCCCUAGUGAGAGUUCUCUCGCCAUGCUCUGGUUCCAUCACCAAUGUAGGUUGAAGAUCUUGUAUUGGCUUGGAUUGAUGGAGAAGUUUCACGAAUCAAUGGUCACGAGAUCCAUAUUACCACUACAAAUGGGGAAAAGAUUGGAGCACUCUAUGGCAAGUUUCUUCUGCUUGAAUAAGCUAUGGGUCACUUUCAAUGGUUAGGCACCUGCUAGGAAUGAUCAUGGGCGCCGGAAAAUGCGUAGAUUCCGAGCUCAGAUCGGAUGGAGGAGUACAUAGGUCUUUGAGAGCGAGUUUUGGAGCUAACGGAAUGAGCUAUUGUCCGUCCUGUUAGAUCCGCACAUGUUAGGGGUGCAGUUUGUGUGGGAGGACAGAUGGCCGCAUGCGAUUGUUUGGGGUGCCUGUGGGGCGUUGAUGCAAACUCCGAAGUAGGGGGACUGUGAUGAAUAGCCAAAAGAUGGAGGUGAGUUGAGUUGCAGUAGGGGAACACACGAGUGUUGAGUCACAAAAGGUAGGGGAUUCAAAGGCGACAUUGCACCUCACGCCACAGGAACAAAGGAUCGGAGCCAAAGGAGUUCAUCGCAGCAGAGAGGUUCGCCAGCCAGUCAACAAGGGCUAUUUUUAUGUUUAGUGGCUCUGGUGGCUUAUGGGAUGGUGGAAGGGCGUUUGGGUGUGUAGAUACCUAUUCUGAGAACUCUUGAGGUCGUCGCCCAUCUGAAUAACAAGGUAAGUUCUGCUGUUCUGGUCCUUCUCUCAAUAUUUCCCCUUCGAUGAGGUUGGGAGCUCUUUCUGAGGGAGAGAAUGGUCAGGAAUUCUGUGGCUGGAGAAGGGGAAGGAAGAAGGGUUAGAACAAAUAGGAAAAUCGCUGAGUAAGGUGGCAAGGAUGGCAUCAACAGAAAAAGAAAAGGGCUUCGGGUCAGAAGGAGGUAGGGAUUGAGGUUGAAGGAGGGGUUGCGGUUGCCCAGGAAGAAGCGAAAGAAACAGGAGGGAGAAAAAAGAGAGGACGGAAGGGAACGAAGAUGAUGAGAACUUAGGAGAAGGAAAUUACAAUAAAGGGAGGUUGAACAUUGAACGUUUUGGACAGACAAGUGGAGGUGGGGAUGUCAUUGGGGAUAUUCUUCUUGGGUGGGAAGAGGGUGGUGAGGAAAGCAAUCUAACAAUUUGAAUUGAAAAGAAGUUAGUGGGGAAGGGGAGUGUGAGAGGAAGGGGAAUACAAGGAUCUAGGAAUUGUUGAUUAAAAGUAAAAUGAUUUUCUGAAGUUUUAAAAGAAAAAAAGAAGGGGAGGGGUGAGGAGGGGGAAUAAGGAGAAGGGAUGGAACAGAAGCUGGUAGGAGUAGAGCGAAGGGGCUGUUUGCAGAAAAGAAGGAAGGAUGGUGGAGGGUGAAAUUGGAUAUGAGGUGGCAUUAAAGGAAUAUCAGGGUUUGAAAGAUCGAAGAAGGGUUUGGGUAAGGAGUGUGGUAAGAAUUUUCAAGGUGGAAGAAUAUAUUAGCAGUCAUGCUGAAGUGAAGGUUUGGAAUUGAUUUGGUUAGUGGCAUUUGUGGGUUUUUCUACUGCUGGCUGGAUCAUGGUAAUGUCUGAAUUGAUCAAGUCAAGAAAAGGAAGAUAGAUAGAGAAGUUAAAAACACACUCGUCUUUUGUGAUGUUUCAGCUAAGCAACUCGGUUACACUAUGGACUUAUGGCAGUGUUGCGGUGGUUUGAGGUAGAGUCCGGCUUGCAUGUAAACUUGCACAAAAGUGAAUUGGUUGCGGUGAGAGAAGUGCCAAAGCUCGAUAGGUGGGAGGAGGAAUGGGGAUGUAGAACAGGUAAAUUACCUCUGAAAUAUCUUGGGAUGCCUUUAGGUGCGAGGUGCAACUCCAAAUUGAUUUAGGAGCCUAUUGUGGAGAGAUUAAACAAGAGAUUGGCCUCUUGGAAAACCAGGCAUUGGCACUUCUUGGAGAAUGUACCGGUGAAGACGAUUCAAGUGUUCGCAUUGGAGCAGUAAUGAGUAAUGGCCUUGCAUACGCUAGAGCCCAGAAUAAGCCACUCUAACCAGCUUCCUCCAUGAUCAUUUGUAGAGCUAUUUCUUCUCAACCUGUUUGUGAUUGGAUAUUCUUGGUAGGUCAAUGUCUUGGGCGCACAAGGGAGAUUCAUCUGUGGUAAAGAUUCAAAAGUGGCAUAGGUACAGGCAUUAGGAAUGCUCGAAUUGCGAGCAUGCUGUGGAACCGCUCGAGCUACGGAUUGCUCAAGGUCUUGCUCAUUUCGAGAAGGGCUUGCUGACUCUUGCGCCUUACCAUCGUUCUGGUCCUCGGUGACAUUGUAAGUAUAGGACACAUCACAUGCUUAUUGGACUUCUGUUUUCUUUUCAUUCCGUAGGAUAAGUGGCUAACAGUUCCUCAUGAAGCUUUAAGUGGUGGCACGAUCGGAAGUUGGCCGACGUUCAAGAUAGGGCUGUCAGCGGGUGGGGUCUGGGUCGAGUCUAAGUAGAAGCACUCUUGAAUCGAUUAGUAAUCAGGACAAUCACAGACCCAAAACUAUUGAUAAAAAAAAAAAAAACAAUCACAGACCCAAAACCGUCGUUGUUAACAUAAAAUUUAUGUUUAAACAAUAACUUACAAUAAAAACUGAACCAAUUAAUUGAUAAAAAAAACUGAACCUGUUAAACUAAAAACUAUGUUCUUUUUUAAAUGGUAACUUAAAAUUUAAAUUUUGAUCAUAUAACGCUAAUAAAAUUUGUAGAUAAAAACUAAAUUACUUGUAUGUUAGAAUGCUAAACACCUUUAACUAUCUAUCAAACUUGAGGCCUUAAACAUAUAAUAUGAUAGUAAUUAUAAGAAAAUGAAGGAAAUAUUAUAUAUACCUAACAAAACAAUCGAUUUUGGGUAUGAAUCGGUUCGGGACAAGUGAGAAUAGGAACCGACCCAAUAUUUCUCCGACAUAAUCAAGACACCAGAACCAUUAUAAUUAGCUUGGUCUGUUCGGGCCCGUCAAAUAGACCUGAACCGUUGAUAGCUAGUGUUGUAGCAGGGUUGGUAUCUCUUUCUCUUCCCCAUCGGAAUCCGCUCUUCUCGUCAUGUCAUUGCAAGCGCAUUCCUAGGAGUUCGCAUUGCCAGUGUGGCAUUGGGAAUGACUGAACCACGAUUGAAACUUCUUGGAGAAUGCGCCAGCAAAGACGAUUCAAGUGUUCGAAUUGGAGCAGUAAUGAGCAACGGCCUCGCAUACGCUGGAGCCCAGAAUAAGCCACUCUAACCAUCUUCCUCCAUGAUCAUUUCUAGAGUUAUUUCUUCUACACCUGUUUGUGACUAUUCUUGGCAGGUGAAUGCCAUGGUCGCACAAGGGAGACACAUCCGUGAUACAGAUUCAGGAGUGGCACAAGUGCAGGCACCAAGAAUGCUCAAAUUGCAGGCAUGUUGCGCAACCGCUCGAGGUAUUACCAUAAAGAAGCCGGUCCACUCUUUGGUCUGCAGAUUGCUCAAGGUCUUGUUCAUUUCGGGAAUGGCUUGUUGACUCUUGCAUCUUUUCAUCGUUUCUGGUCCUCGAUGACACUGUUUGAUCGCAAGGAUUCUCGCAACAAGGGAAGCCCUGUUUCCGGAGUGAUCACAUUGUUCCUCUGUUUAGAAAGGAUACCAGAGUCGUUGAGUUUACGAGAUCCAACAGCUCCCCAGUAUGAUCUCAUGUUCUCCAGCAUCAAACCAUGGAGCAGACAGAAAGAUGGAAAGGACCACCUUCACCCGCUUGCUUGAUCCAAAUUGAUCUUUCUAUGAUUAUUGCUUGUUAGUGGUAGACUGCUAACUCCUAGGCAGUAGGAACAGUUCAGCCUUUAUCGCCCUUGGCAGUGGCAGUCUGGCAGAGCGGUCUACUUACGGUCAUCUGGAGGAGCCACUGCGUGCAUAGAAGCUUAAGUUUUGCUAACCACCACGUUGCUGUUGAGACAUUUUCACUGCAGUUGUCGUGACAAGACCAACUCAAAUGUCAUGAUGCAGAGUCCAGAUCACAACUUGUCAACAAUCAAGUUACUAUCACCGAUUAGUUGUUUUUGUUUUGAGAAGAAAAACUGAUGGAGAAAUAUAUCCGGCUUUCCUAAUUUUGUAGUGAAGAAGAUCAGAAUCAUUCAUGUUGACCCCAGAAGUUCAAACCAACUGUUAGAGCCCACCAAGUGUAUGGUUGGGUGGAACUGGAAUCCUAUUUACUAGUGGAAUGGCAUUCCCCCAUUUGAGGGAAUGGCCAUUUCUUAACGAAAUUCUAUUCCAGUUGGUUUUAAUUCCCAUUCUGAUUCCUGUCUGAACCAAAUAGAUUGAGAAUAGAUCAUUAUGAUUCCAACUGUGAACCAAAUGCACACUUAAUUGAAUACAAUAAAUCUCCAGGAUUUUUAUCA